rfam:Tursiops truncatus cont1.335284, whole genome shotgun sequence.
ACUGAGGUAUGGCAGAAGUACAAGGAAUUCAACAUCUCAAA